GAUGAACGCUGGCGGCGUGCCUAAUACAUGCAAGUCGAGCGAACAGACGAGGAGCUUGCUCUUCUGACGUUAGCGGCGGACGGGUGAGUAACACGUGGAUAACCUACCUAUAAGACUGGGAUAACUUCGGGAAACCGGAGCUAAUACCGGAUAAUAUAUUGAACCGCAUGGUUCAAUAGUGAAAGACGGUCUUGCUGUCACUUAUAGAUGGAUCCGCGCUGCAUUAGCUAGUUGGUAAGGUAACGGCUUACCAAGGCAACGAUGCGUAGCCGACCUGAGAGGGUGAUCGGCCACACUGGAACUGAGACACGGUCCAGACUCCUACGGGAGGCAGCAGUAGGGAAUCUUCCGCAAUGGGCGAAAGCCUGACGGAGCAACGCCGCGUGAGUGAUGAAGGUCUUCGGAUCGUAAAACUCUGUUAUUAGGGAAGAACAAAUGUGUAAGUAACUAUGCACGUCUUGACGGUACCUAAUCAGAAAGCCACGGCUAACUACGUG
rnacentral:rRNA from 1 species